rnacentral:rRNA from 1 species
GAUGAACGCUGGCGGCGUGCCUAAUACAUGCAAGUCGAGCGAAGCGGGGACGGGUGAGUAAAACGUGGGUGACCUCCUAUAAGACUGGGGUAACCUCGGGGAACCGGAGCUAAAACGGAUACUUUUACAUGGAUCCGCGCGGCAUUAGCUAGUGGGUAAGGUAACGGCUUACCAAGGCAACGAUGCAUAGCCGACCUGAGAGGGUGACCAGCCACACUGGAACUGAGACACGGUCCAGACUCCUACGGGAGGCAGCAGUAGGGAAUCUUCCGCAAUGGGCGAAAGCCUGACGGAGCAACGCCGCGUGAGUGAUGAAGGUCUUCGGAUCGUAAAACUCUGUUAUUAGGGAAGCGGUACCUAAUCAGAAAGCCACGGCUAACUACGUGCCAGCAGCCGCGGUAAUUC